AUGUUGGGUGAUGCAAUUGAUAAGAUAUGCAAACAAAAGUCGAAGGAUGGUAACUAUAUGAGUUCUUUCAUAAUCUGCAUUUUUAUUAGCUGAUGAUAGAUGUUAGCUGAUGGGAAUUGGUGAGAUUUUGUGAUGUUUGAGAUCACUAGAAAACACGAUUCUAUGUUCGUUUAUGGCUCCAUGGACUCUAGCGAGGUAUAAGAUCCCUUGACGGUUGUACAUCUUGGUAAUUGAUAGUAACCUUCAGACAUUUAUUGCACGCUUGUACACGGUUUGAGCUCUGUGAUACACUGUAGUAUUACAUCCUGGAGAAGGUAUCCCUGAGCUAUCUCAUGAAGUAUCAAGCAUUUACAUCUGGUGCUUAACUCAAAACCCUGAAUGUUGCAAGCAAUGGGAAAGUUCGAAGUUAUUUUUUUUUUAUAAAUC
rnacentral:lncRNA from 1 species